rnacentral:rRNA from 1 species
CCUACGGGGGGCAGCAGUGGGGAAUAUUGGACAAUGGGGGCAACCCUGAUCCAGCCAUGCCGCGUGUGUGAAGAAGGCCCUCGGGUUGUAAAGCACUUUCAGUGAGGAAGAACGCCUGGUGGUUAAUACCCAUCAGGAAAGACAUCACUCACAGAAGAAGCACCGGCUAACUCCGUGCCAGCAGCCGCGGUAAUACGGAGGGUGCGAGCGUUAAUCGGAAUUACUGGGCGUAAAGCGCGCGUAGGUGGCUUGAUAAGCCGGUUGUGAAAGCCCCGGGCUCAACCUGGGAACGGCAUCCGGAACUGUCAAGCUAGAGUGCUGGAGAGGAAGGUAGAAUUCCCGGUGUAGCGGUGAAAUGCGUAGAGAUCGGGAGGAAUACCAGUGGCGAAGGCGGCCUUCUGGACUGACACUGACACUGAGGUGCGAAAGCGUGGGUAGCAAACAGGAUUAGAUACCCCAGUAGUC